rnacentral:rRNA from 1 species
GACGAACGCUGGCGGCGUGCUUAACACAUGCAAGUCGAACGGUGAACUCCGCUUGCUGGGGGAUCAGUGGCGAACGGGUGAGUAACACGCGGGCAACCUGCCCUCACCUCUGGGAUAACUCCAAUAAAUUGGGGCGAAUACCUGACAUGACCGCUGACCUCAUGCUCUGGGGGGGGAAAGAUGUAUCGGCUGGGGAUGGGGGCGCGGCCUAUCAGCUUGUUGGUGGGGUAGUGGCCUACCAAGGCGGCGACGGGUAGCCGGCCUGAGAGGGUGACCGGCCACACUGGGACUGAGACACGGCCCAGACUCCUACGGGAGGCAGCAGUGGGGAAUAUUGCGCAAUGGGCGGAAGCCUGACGCAGCGACGCCGCGUGCGGGAUGACGGCCUUCGGGUUGUAAACCUCUUUCAGCAGGGACGAAGCGAAAGUGACGGUACCUGCAGAAGAAGCACCGGCCAACUACGUG